GACAGAGGGUGCAAACGUUGUUCGGAAUUACUGGGCGUAAAGCGCGUGUAGGCGGCUCGGAAAGUCGGAUGUGAAAGCCCUGGGCUUAACCUAGGAAGUGCAUUCGAAACUCCCGAGCUUGAGUUCUGGAGAGGAAGGCGGAAUUCUCGGUGUAGAGGUGAAAUUCGUAGAUAUCGGGAGGAACACCGGUGGCGAAGGCGGCCUUCUGGACAGUGACUGACGCUGAGACGCGAAAGCGUGGGGAGCAAACAGG
rnacentral:rRNA from 1 species